rnacentral:lncRNA from 1 species
GAAAAGAAAAGAAAAGAAUCGAUGUUGUAAUGUUAUGUUUAGAAAUCGAUUGUAUAUUUGGAAGUUGAGAAUCAAUGUAAUGAAAAAUGCGAUGUAAAAUGAUGAGAUGAAUGAUUGUAAUAAUAUAGGAUGUGUUAUGUUGUUUGAUACCUUCCUUAUGCAAUCGUUGUUGAUAAUUGUUCCUGUUUGGAACCUCUUGUAAUUGUAUUGAUUGCGACGCCUUGAACGUACAGGGGAGACUCUGUCCGCGUGCAGGGGAAACCCUGUCCGUUCGGCGGUCUGUUGGCGUGCCCGAAUCCGACCAAAGAAGCGGGCUCGG